GUUCCACCAUUGAGAGCAGCACCACCUUAGGAACAUAACCUGGUCUGUUCUGUGCCUUUUGGCACAGGCUUCACUGCAGUUCAGGGGUCCAUUAAAGCGGCCUGGGACCCAAGCUGAUUUGCCCAAUAUGGACUGAGGAAUAAAUAACUCCUUUUAUAUCUGA